AACGAACGCUGGCGGCAGGCUUAACACAUGCAAGUCGAGCGCCCCGCAAGGGGAGCGGCAGACGGGUGAGUAACACGUGGGAACAUACCCUUUACUACGGAACAACUCCGGGAAACUGGAGCUAAUACCGUAUGUGCCCUUUGGGGGAAAGAUUUAUCGGUAAAGGAUUGGCCCGCGUUGGAUUAGCUAGUUGGUGGGGUAAAGGCCUACCAAGGCGACGAUCCAUAGCUGGUCUGAGAGGAUGAUCAGCCACAUUGGGACUGAGACACGGCCCAAACUCCUACGGGAGGCAGCAGUGGGGAAUAUUGGACAAUGGGCGCAAGCUUGAUCCAGCCAUGCCGCGUGAGUGAUGAAGGCCUUAGGGUUGUAAAGCUCUUUCACCGAUGAAGAUAAUGACGGUAGUCGGAGAAGAAGCCCCGGCUAACCUCGUGCCAGCCGCCGCGGUAA
rnacentral:rRNA from 1 species